ACAUGCCCACAUGCACACAACACAGCUGACAUGGCACACUAUCCAGUUGUGCACAGGAGAAGUGAUCAAGCUUCCAGACUUGUAACUAAUGCUUUUCCUUCAUAAUUUCAUAUUUAACUUGCAAAUAUCCUAAAGCGUGAUAUGUCUUAUCUCACACAUCAGUUGAGAGCUGGAAGCCCCUACAUGAUCAAGACCUUUAAACUCCCAUUUUAGAUCCCUUGUCUGUGGACUUGUUGGCAUGCCGACCGGAUGGCUCAGUUUUGGGAUUAUGUCAACGCCUUCAGCAGACGCUAUUGCAUUACAUAAAGAGAUAUGCCAUGCUGGAGAGCUUCUACUCACUCCUAAUGUGUGCAUUCUGGCCAUGGGCAAUGACUUCACAUCCAGUCCUAUCACUGACACGGCAACCAAGGAUUCUGGGAGUGUUCCCAAAGCUGUAUUGCAUCACUUGUCAAAGAUCCCACUGAGAAUCCAACAGUCAACCCACCCGUCUGCAGCUCAGUGCAGCUUUGUAAACUUUCAGCUCACUGGUCUGAUUUUGCUUGUUGGUGUCCCAACAAAUUCUACAUAAUUUGGCAGCUGGGCCAGGGCCUGUGUAAGGAUUAGUGUACAUCAAUACCAGAGUAACAUUUCCGCAUUAAACUGUCUAAAAACGA